rfam:Gonium pectorale scaffold01309, whole genome shotgun sequence.
AACCCGGUGUUUUUCAACACCACCUUUAUUACAAUGGGACGGGCAU